rnacentral:sRNA from 1 species
GUCGACAUAAUUCCUCUGAUGGUUUUUUUAACAAUGGUCCCCUACGAACUGCAGGAGAUUCUUGGCACCAGCCCUCCCUGUUCCGCCAUGAUUCUGUGGAUUCUGGUGUCUCUAAGGGAGCAUAUGCUGGAAUCACAGGGAACCCAUCUGGUUGGCAUAGCUCUUCCCGAGGUCAUGAUGGCAUGAGCCAACGUAGUGGAGGUGGCACAGGGAACCAUCGCCACUGGAAUGGCAGCUUCCACUCCCGGAAAGGGUGUGCUUUUCAGGAAAAGCCACCUAUGGAGAUUAGGGAAGAAAAGAAAGAAGACAAGGUGGAAAAGUUGCAGUUUGAAGAGGAGGACUUUCCUUCCUUGAAUCCAGAAGCUGGCAAACAGCAUCAGCCAUGCAGACCUAUUGGGACACCUUCUGGAGUAUGGGAUGGAGUCUCACUCUGUUGCCAGGCUGGAGUGCGGUGGCGAGAUCUCAGCUCACUGCAACCUCAGCCUCCCGGAUUCAAGCUUUUCUCCUGCCUCAGCCUCCUAAGUAGCUGGGAUUACAGGCCUAUGCCACCAUGCCCGGC